CGCACAUUGCGCCCCUUGGUAUUCCAUGGGGCAUGCCUGUUCGAGCGUCAUUUGUACCUUCAAGCUCUGCUUGGUGUUGGGCGUAUUGUCAAAUCCUCAGCGGUUAGACUCGCCUUAAAGUAAUUGGCAGCCAGUGUUUUUGGUAGUAAGCGCAGCACAUUUUGCGUCUUAGUCCGUCAACGGUGGCAUCCACAAAGCCUCUUUCUCACUUUUGACCUCGGAUCAGGUAGGGAUACCCGCUGAACUUAA
rnacentral:misc_RNA from 1 species